ensembl:snoRNA
CUGGCCCUGAAUCAAAACCAGCAGCUUCCUGACGCUGAAGCAGGAGCCUAAAGAGAUGUCUUACUAUGGUCUGUGGCCAUUUCAGAAUUUGGACAGUGAAAUGGUCAAUUCAUUAGAAAGGAGCCCAC